CCUACGGGGGGCAGCAGUGAGGAAUAUUGCGCAAUGGGCGAAAGCCUGACGCAGCGACGCCGCGUGGGGGAUGAAGGCCUUCGGGUUGUAAACCCCUUUCGACCGGAAAGAAAAGUCCCAAGGUAAAUAGCUUCGGGGCCUGACGGUACCGGGAGAAGAAGCCACGGCUAACUCUGUGCCAGCAGCCGCGGUAAGACAGAGGUGGCAAGCGUUGUUCGGAUUUAUUGGGCGUAAAGAGUUCGUAGGCGGUUUUAUAAGUCAGAUGUGAAAUCCUGGGGCUUCACCCCAGAACGGCAUUUGAUACUGUAUGACUUGAGGGCAGGAGAGGGAAGUGGAAUUCCAGGUGUAGCGGUGAAAUGCGUAGAUAUCUGGAGGAACACCGGUGGCGAAGGCGGCUUCCUGGACUGUACCUGACGCUGAGGAACGAAAGCGUGGGGAGCAAACAGGAUUAGAUACCCCAGUAGUC
rnacentral:rRNA from 1 species